rnacentral:lncRNA from 1 species
UCAUGCACUUAAACAUUAUUCUAAAUAUUGUUAAUUACUCUUAUCUUGUAUGCGUGACAAGUAUGUAGGUUGUACAAUACAACUCUUUUUUAUUUUUAAUUUCCUUUUUAUAUUUUUGUUGUUGAUUAUUUCUGUUUCUAUGUGCAGUUAUCACCCUCCCAAGUAAGGGACAGCACUGGUGACGAAGGAAGACCACUUUUCGUUACAAAAAAAAAAAAAAAUAGUAUAUAGCAGUUUAGAGUUUAAUUUUCAUAUAUUACCAAAACAAUGCGCAAGGAAAGACACAACCACCUAACAACUUUGCGUUUAGUUAUAGUUUCAACCAUUAUCAUCUAUCGUACUAGACAAAUUAUUGAUGCUAUUUGUGGAAAUUAGAUUGAACUCUCGAUCUCCUUUAAUCUCGAUUGCGGAACAUCUAUUUCGGCAUAGUUCACCAUUGGGCGAGAAUUGAAGCUAAGAGUUAUUUAUAAAAAACACUCACAGUCAACAAAACACCAUUUAUAAAAGAUAAAAUCAUAAAAGACUUACAUUUAAAACGGACAAAAUACUUUAUAAAAUAAAAUAAUAGUUAAUUAUACUUGAUAACGUAAAAAUUGUUUACAAGGAU